UACAAACGCUAGUACCGACAGCUACGAUUAAGAAAGGCAUUAUUGGCUUUCAUGUGAAGGUGGUGAUAUUGGGACAGGAUCCAUACCAUGGACCAGGUCAAGCUCAUGGUCUGAGUUUCAGUUUUCAUGGCGGGAAGCCUUUUCCACCUAGGUAAGGACAUAGGCAAUAGUCAAACUAAUGAUGCUUACUGAUGGACUGUAAUAUAAUCUAUUACCCAUAUAUACCUCUGAUGUGUGUUUUCCAUAUCUUUUUUAUCUUACCCUGGGCAGGAUUGAUACAAGCCACACCUUCUCAACAGUUGUUUGCAACAAUACAAUGACAUCAUGUCGACCAUUCAGUCAUGUCACAUCUGUUUUGUAUUUAUGUAACAUAAGCAGGUAAACAGAGUAAGAUAAAAUAUUCUCCUAUACAAGCGAAUUUCCGUUUUUAGUAGGGUAAAGGUAUACGUAGCUCUCUAUAAUUGUCUGUAACCAGUUUACAGUAGGGAAGAGAUAUUUUUCACGCACUUAUGAUAGCGUAACCAUGUCGUAUACUUGAUAACGUAAUCAAUUAUGAACGCGCAUUUGAAUGACAUUGAUGAUAAUGCGAUGAAAACGUUUCACAACAGUUUGUUUUUAUUUUAAAAGCAUAUAAGAAAAAAAAUCUAACAACUACCUGUACUGUGGACAGGGCUAUAUCAGGCCUUGUGCUGACUAAACAAACCCUCAGGUUGAGAUAUCGCUGUCCACGGAAUAGGUCCAUGUAAGAUUCUAUUAAUCAUUUACCCACUUUGGGAGCGAGACAGGGAGAUCUAAACUCGAUCUUAAACAUUGGGGUUUAAUUCUAAAGCUGCCAAGCAUUCAAAAAGCCUCGUGUUUGGCAACUUAAGAAUCCUCCCUCAGGUUGAUAUUCCCCUGUCUCGUCUCCAAGGGGGUAAAAGUUCUACUGAUCUCUUUCAGGGGCUGCAGACAUUCUUUUACAAAAUUUUGUUUGAUGUGAAGAUAGUUCUUUAAAAAUAUUAUUGUACAACAUUACUGGGCAAUUUGUUUAGUUUAUCCCCUAUGAACAGCCAGAUUCAUUUUGAAGCGGGGUCUCUUUGUAGUAAUCGGUAGCUACAUCACUAAAAAACAUACGGGAGCCCUGUCACGUGCCAUCCAGAGCAAUCAGGGUCAAAUGUCUUGUUUAAGGACACAGCCACAACCGCACAAACCAGCCCGUUUAUCAUCUUUCAAAGAAACACAAACCGACACGAAUAGGGAGCGUUGAACUACACACAUCUGAUCUUCACUUGAAGUAAUACCGUCAUGCAAACCUACUGACCUAUUGCGGGAGGUGCAAAUAUAAAAAUGUUAUACCUCCUAAACUCCUGGGAGAUUUGCAACAGGAUACAAUAUUACUGGUGAAGACCCCAAAGUCACAGUGUAUGUUUAGGUGGGGAUAUAUUGGCGAAUAGGGAAAUCUGACAUUUUUCGGCAUAGCCUCUAAUUUAGUUUUGACCCCGGAUAUGACGCGACA